ensembl:lncRNA
GGCGACAGUGCUAAUCACCACACCACCGUGCCGCCCCUUAAAUCCAUCCAAUACAUUAUAUUAGUCACGGCUAGCCAUCCCCUGUAAUGUGAGGGCCCAGAAUGCAGAUACUGUAGGCACUAGAUACAGGAAUAGAUAGGUAGGAGGGUAGCCAGGAAUGAUGCAUCCAGUGGUGACAUUGGUAGUCCUCACUGCAGUAGAGGAGAGUCCAGAUAGGAGAGGAGGGUGCAGGCUGUAGGCUGAGGCUUAGAGUCCGCGGUGGGGCGAGCAGGCAGGCAGUGAAAUGGAAGGCAGUGAAGGAUCCAUACUUGUAGCUGGUUCCGGCAGCGGGAGCUAGACUAGAGAAGACAAAGGUGAAAUGUCAAACUCAGAAAACGGCUUCCCUCUGAAGCGAUGCGUGGGCGCCGUAUUACCGCUCAGGAAGCAAGAUAAUCUGGCGAAGACUGGAGCUCCUGCAGAUCCUUAAGAAGGGUGUUCAGACGAGGGUAGAUAAUUAACAGGUGUGAUGGCAGGAGUGAUCCAGCCUCUGCCCCAGGCUCCCAGGAAACCUGCCCCGCCCUCACCUAAGACUCAAAACAAACAGCAGCAGCCAAGCAUGAUCGUGACAAUAUUAAGAUGGGGCUAACAGAAGCUAGUGAUCUACAGGGGACACAUGUUUUCGGAGGUUUUGUAUGCUAAUUAUAUAAUCGCAGAGUGUCAAUAAAAUGUAUUUUAUACAGGUGAGGUUGAUCAUUAGAAGCUGAAAAAAUUGUUAUGAAUAAUAGUAAAAGUCAAAAACGCUGUCACAUCUGUCCUAUUCAUCGGACUUAUGAGAGGAGUUGGGGAUGUUUUCGCCAUUUUUGAGUUUCUCAAUUAGUACUCAUCUGUUCAGAAGUCAACUCAAACAAACAAAAAGUAUAUUUUUCUGUGUUUAUUGAGUGGGUCUGCAAUACUUGUGAAGUUUUACAUGCAGCAGUGUGUAGUAAACAUACGUUAUGAGAUGUGUGUGAUGACUAAACAGUACGGAGCAUACUUUGUUCUCAACAGAAGGAGCCAAGAUUUAGGUUUCCAAAACCCAAUUCUCAAAUCAUACACACAAACACACCAAUUGUGAUAUUGGUCUGUUGUGGCAGUUGGAUCCGGCUUAAGAUUUGUUUCCGGCAUUGUUGACGUUGGAGUACGAUAAGUCAGUACGGACGGCUCAGAGUGGGACGGCCCUCAACUUUUUGAUACCCUCAGUCUAAGGUUAACUCUCUCCUGCCACCGAAAGAAUUAAAUCCAGCACCACUGCUCCAAACCAAGAUGACAAACUUUGUACAAAGAUAUGAUAUCCACUCCUUCCAAUCUUACCUUUCACAAUAAAGCAUAUCAGUAAAAUAAACAUAUUGUACAAUCCGUAACAGCUACUCAAUAAAAAGGUUUAGAAGCAGGGAAUCAACUGUUUUGAAAUGGAAUGUUUCCAGCUGAAACUUUUGUAUUUUGGUUUUUAUUUAUUUUGGUUUGACCCACAACAUGAACGUCAGUCCUCUGAGUAACGGUUAUGUUUGUUUGAGUCAUCAACCAUUAUGCCACCCACCCUUUAAAAACCACCAAGUUGUCUAUUGAAGAGAACCCCAAAUGAAUUGGUUGGUUUAUUAAAUCAAAACUCAACAGACCGACCUUGUUACUUAAUUCAAGUUACAUACAUGUAUUCAAAUAAAAUAUGCUGACUUUUGGUGUCACAUGAUCUAUGAACAGCAUUAUCCUGGGUGAAUCUGCACUGAUAUUCUUAGCCACCCAUCCACCUCAACUCAUCCUCAUGUGGACGUAUGCCCAGUUUGAUGAAAAGUGUAUUGAUAAAGAGCAAAAACACUUUUAUUGAAUGGAAAUGUAGCCUAAUUUGAUGAGUGUGAGAAUAUUAGUAUGUUUGCAACUGUGUUAAAAGCUCCUUGUGUAGUUUGGGUCGUCAUGCCAAACAAUAACAGAUCCACUAGUUACAAGAAUCCUUGUGUUGCUCAAGUGGAGCUGCAGAGUCCGAUUGCAACCUGUAACAAUGAGGGGGGAACAAGACAGGUGAUUGCCAGCAGCUACUCAUCCAAAACCAAAAUGAACCGCAGUCUGGACUGACGCUCAUUUCAAAUUCAGCUAUUUGUAAAUGUGCCCUCAGCUGAUUUGCCUCCAACACACAUUGACCGUUUUUCUUCUUCUUCUUUUUCUCUUCGUUUACCGACACUGUGAAGCUCUAAGGAGGUAGUUGUCCUCAAAUUACAAGAAAUUGUUACUUUCUUUCCAAACAUUAACACAGUUUGCUUGUAAUUUCUGUUUGUUCAUGCCCACAAUGAGUGUGUGUUCUACCUGGUGUCUGCUUGGUCUAGUGUGUAAUAAGCAGGUAACAGGGAGGGCUUUUAUGAACACAAGGUGACUAGAGGGGAUAAUCCGAGCUUGUCUGUACAAACCGCAACCAUAUCCAAACUAUACCACAUUGCACAGAGACACACACCAACACACACCCAUGCAUAUACGGAGACACAGACACUUGAUUUCCUCCCUCUUCAGGAGUAUUAUAUAGUCCCAGCUUUGACAGACGGAGGGAGAGAGACAGUAAAUUAAGACAAUAGACAGAAAACCGGACAAGUUGAUGAAGUCAUUUGUAAAUGUAUAAUGGGAUGUACAGUGUGCGGCUGCGGCAUCAUAAGCACACUAUUCAAAACCAACCCACAACUUCUUAACCAUAACUCUAUAUCGGUUAAAGACUGUAUUGAUGAAGGUUUAUUUAACGAUUCACAGUUACCCCAGUGUGAGUAUCAUACUAUCAGUAUCAGUACAUCAAAACAAAACAGCAUGUUUUGUGCUUGCCAUAGUGUGGUUGACAAAACAUAAGAAUAAGAAUAAAAAACAAAUAAAUAUUGAAUGGAAAUAUUCAUACUUUUUCACACUUUGUGUUUUUUCAGUUCAUCAUCUAAUGUGUGUGGAGUUUUCUUUCUUUCCUUCUCAUUUUCAGUAUAAGAUAAGACAUAAGGACUGGCAAACACACAGUGACCCUCUCCUGGUGUCCCCAGAUAACCACGUGUCACAAAUAUACAGAAACAAUAACCACUUCAAACUUCCUGUGUUUGGUUGUGACAAAGUGAAGGAGGCCAGGAUCUGCUUGCAACUUCCCUGUGGUUUGGUGACUGCCGGCAGUGUCUCUGGAGGAGCAUUCCUCCACAUAUCCGCUGUAUUUUUGUAACAUGAUGAAAAACGUUGGCCUCGUAUUACAACAAAUCCUAUUGAUUGAAUAUUGCCUUAGUGAAGAAAUAUCUCUUCACUGUUAAAAAUAUUUUUCAAAGCAUCGUUAGAAGGAACAUUGGGUUUGGCAGUGGUAUGUAUUAUACAUCUGACAACCAUCAUCUCGUACAGACGGAUCAUUUCCAUUUCUAAUAGAUUAUAGUGUUGGAGGAAAUAAGAAGUGAAGUGUCUUCACCUGUAUAUGCUUUAAAAGAAACCGCUACAGUGGCAUUUUUGUGAGGAGGUUCAGGUCAUAUCACACCACGGAGGUUCCUUCAUCCUUCUUCUGACCUGAAUCCCUCUGUGAUCUCCGUAUGCCUUGGCAAACCCUCAAAGCUUCACCCUGGCACACAGCCGCUAUCUCCUCUAUUCCUGGGAUGAAAAGGAAAAAAAACAAAAAACUAGGCUAUUAGCUAGCGAGCAUCCUGGGAUGCUCUGGAAAUGCUCCUCCUCUCAUUUCUUGUCUUUGAAGUGCUGUAUUCCUGGCAGAAAAAUGCUAAAUGACAAUGGGAAAAUGCUGGUCAAUGGACUCAUUUAGCGAUUUAGAACAUCAACAGACACCAAGCUUCUUUACAUCUUAGGGAUCGAUCGCAGUAAUCAAAAAGGCUUUUCUCUGACAAAAUGUUCACUGCCUUUCCUAUGCUGUAGAAAACCAUGGUUAUUGUGUCUAAUGACACCGACACAGUUGUUGUAGCCGGGGAAUCAAAGUUUAGAGUCUGAUUACUGGAAUGUUACUUCCUUAAAUCCUGCGCCACGUCCUCAAAGCGCAGCUGUGAACGUACCCUCGCUGCCGCCAGCAGACUGGGAGGGCUAUCGGUGUUCUAACAGGUGCUAACUAGCUAGCUAAUGCUAACUAUUGUCUAAUUCGUGGUCUGAUGAGAAAUGCAUCAGUACUUCCAUGUAACGUAUUUACAUAAGACCCCCAAAAAAUUACAGCAGACAACGAAUAAAGAUGUAUCAUGACAUGGUUGAAUUAGAGUUGUCACCAAGGGACGCUUAUUGAUUCAAAACGGGACGCGCUAUUUUAUUCUCAAAUACGGGACGAUUCCGUAUUUUAAGGGACGGAUGGCAAACCUAGGUUGCGUCAGUAACUUGUGUCAGCUUUGUGACGACAUUAUGUUGUUAGCAUCAGUGGAUCUUGAAUUACUUGUUAGUUUGGCAAACUAGCUAGUUUUGUUAGGAUUGAGUUAGUACUAACUACUUGUGUUAAUACACCAUGCAGCUUAGUUCGACCGACACCUUUCAUCACAAUGAUGGAUUAAAGAAAAGAAUUUAGCAAAAAGUUACUUCUGAGAACUGAAUCCUUAGCUACUAAUUUGACAGACAUGCAGAGGUCCAAAAAGUUACUGGUUGAAGGUGUUUUGUCCAGAUUAAGUGAAAGGGAAAAUUCUUCUAUGGACAUAUACUUGCUCAGAUGGGCAUAACCUCUGAUGAUGCAGAGGCAUAAUAACCAGAUUUGUUAUUGUGAAGAAUAUUACCGUCACCUGUCCAUUUGGUAUAAGUCUGUUAUCUGUAUUUUCCAAGUACAAAUGCGAUGGGAAUAGUUGAUUUCUGUAAAACAAAUGCCUGCUAAAUGGUUAAAGUAAACUACACUAACAUGAGUCAGCUUUCCUGCUCCUUUAAAGAGCAUAUCAGUCUUACAUAAAACAUUUGAAACACUGCCACUUUUAAUUAUUUGACAACUUAGCUUAGACACAGCUAAAAUUUGGUCAACAGUAUUAUAACUGUAUGAUGGAGAGGUACAAAUGUGGGUGACAUGCCUCUUAGUUCAGAAAAGGGAGUUUGCAAGUAUGUUGAGGUAAGACUAGCAAAAUGAGAAUAAGGGUGGCUUGUGUUGUAGACUUGCGGGGGCAAGUGGUGCAAAAAUAACAAAACGUGAUCUGCCAGUCUUACAUAACUAGUUAUGGGUAAAGACCUCUUGGCAAGUGUUCAGUUUUUUAAGGCUGCCAUAAAUACGGCCAGUGUGUUUUGCCGCUAUUGAGUUUCCUCAUCAGAAGGAAGGAGAAAGGGAGAGUGAGGAUGAAGGAGCGAAAAAGAGGGAUCUCAUAUUUCACUCAGGUCCAUAUCCAUUACAGAGAAAAUUAAUAACUGCAUGGAGCAAGAGAACACCGCCCUCAAGUUUUCACUUGCUUUUCUGUCAGUCUGUCUUUGGGCUUGCUUAUAAAAACUAACGUUCAUACUUUAUGUGUAUGUUUGUAAAUGUGAAGCCUGGAUAUGUGUCUAGUCUCUGAAAUUUAAAUGAGGUCAUUUAUCAGCCCAAAUGUCUAAAAAGCUGUAUAUUGUGUGUAUGAAGGCUAUGAUCAGUUACAAGUGGAUUGACACACACCCUAACCUAAUAAAACACGCGCAUACAUUUUAUUGUAGGGAUCAGACUCUUACAGAUUGUUGUCAAGGACAGUAGCCGAGGCGAGACAGCAAUCCUCAGCGAUCCAUUUGGCACAAUGGCUGUAUUGUUACAAAAUAACAGCCAGUUAUCCAGCCAGAGAGCACCACAUGUCUGCAUGUAAUAAUAAUAAACUGUAUUCAAGUGGCACCUCUUUAAACACAGUAAAUACGUGCUUUAAUAAAAAACCCAAAAGAAGAGAAAAAACUAAAUGAGCCUAAUAACAAUAAAAAACUUUUUAAGAAGAAAAUAAUCUACAAACCAUUGUCUACCUAUUUUUAAAACCCACUGGACCUACUUCUGGUGCAUGCAUGCAAACUAGCCAAUAAACGCCGCUUCUUCUGUCAUUGUUUGCACAGACUGUGAAGAGCUGCAGGACCAGCGAGUUGCUAGCCUGUGAAGUCAUAUGGACAUUGAGAUUACAGGCCUCCAUUGGCUCACCAGUAGCUAGUAUCACACACAGUUUGAGUUGGGGAUUGGACCUCCCCACUCUUUAAGUCAUUGUGUGUUUGAUGAAGAAAAUAACAGAGGGAAUGCUGCUUUAUGUGAAACACAUAGAGAGGCAGGAUGUAAAAGAAACGCCAUCAGUGCCUUUCCCAUAUGGGCCAGAGUGUAUUCCAUUGGUCCUUAAUAAAUAUCUAAUGAUAAUUACUUAAGCUCUGAGACGAGAGUUCUUAUUUUGUUCACACUACCAGCUUAUUCGCCUUCUCUCACGUCUCGCUCAGCCCAAAUCCAUUGUGGUAAAAUGAAUAUUUGCUUAUUACACAAACCCACCCCGACACCCCCACCCUGCAACAAGACAUAUUUGUCCAUCACAAAUUGGCGCAUCACACAUAGCUUUCUCAGCGCUGCAUAUUUGUCUUAGCUUUCGCCUGGUUUGCAAGAAAAACAAAUAAGCCACUGCGGUUGAUCGGGCGACGCGAGAGAGAAUGCGGCUCCGGGAAUGUUCGAUGUGAUCCGAGCGGUUUGUUUUGGGUUGUGAGAUCGGAUCGGUUAAGUGAAAUGCUGGAAUUAAUGUUUGCUGGAGUGACCCGUCGGAUUGCUUAGCAAGCUUUUUUGGGUCCAUCCAAGUGAUCUUUUUCCAUGAGUUGACUCAAAAACUUUUUGGUUUGGUAUUACAUUUAAAAACAAACAAAAGUAACUAUGGCAAUUAUACAUUACAUGCACUGAAAUAUUACAGUGACAAAGCUGGUUAGUGCUGCUUCGCUUCAUGAGGCUGACGGGACUCAAAUAAGAAUAAGGGCUCGAGCUUCAGAAAUAAAAGGUGCGGCCGGAUGAGGUUGAGAACGGACCAUUUAGAUUCUCAAGGCAUUUGUUAACCGCCACCGCGUCAAAUCCAGUUAUUUUGAUCACAAAAUUCAGAAAUUUGUGCUUUUUCAGCAAGCAACAACAACAUCACCCCUGUUUAGUAAUAUUAUAAAGUGGUUGGAAAUAACUGUGGUUAUUGGUCAGUGUGGAGGAUCAAAAUGAAGAUGACACAUUUUCUGUCUGACAUUUGCUCAAUAAACAGUACAAACAAAACAUUGGACAACAAAAUACACAACGUAAACAAACUUUUUUGGUCUUUGCAAAUGAAGUUGACGAGACACAAAUUAACUUUGGCUUGUGUUUCAAUGCCACAUACAAUACCCUUUUCUUAUUUUUUUUCUUUUCUUAGUAUUGUCUGUCAUUAAGUACUGUCAUGGGUAGUCCCACUUGUAUGAAGCAGUAAUUCAUUCGUGACCACUACACUGAACCAUUAACUGCAACGACAGUAAAGUACCCUACAGGACCGUUUUGAAGGGACCUUAACUUUCCUAACUUUAACAAAACUGUUCUGUUAAAGUUCGGAAGGAAAACCUUCUAGUCUAGAAAGACACAACGAUGAUUGAUUGAGACUUCCCUCGCCUCAAUCCCCGACCGUCAAUGAGGUCGCCACUGGUCCAGAUCACCACCACAAUCCCUACUCCGUUCCAGCAGUAAUCUUUGAGAAAAUACCCAGCAUCCUGCAUACAUACUGCUCGCUGUGUCAUACUUUUUCCGGCCGAGGAUUCAAACUGGCAACCUACUAGUCACACAAGUCUCUCUCCACGUCUCCAAUAUGCCAUUGCCUCAUAUUUUCAUUUGGUGGGUGACAGUCCACCAACGCUGUGUCGCAAGGAGCCUGGAAUACUAACGUAUCAUUACAGGCCCAUCGGGAGGGACUUGAAAAGAUGAAUGAUUGUUUCAGUCAAUGUAAGGAGUUACGGCUGCUGCCGUUGUCGUGGUAACAAGCUACAGUUGAGCGUAGGUGGGCAAACAGUAUGGUUAGUGUUUUGGAUAUGUGCAACACGGAUCACUCAGGACGUCUGUCUGUGUUUUCAUGCAUUUGUUAUUCCAUUUGUAUGUGUUGUGUGCAUGCACACAUUAGUAGGAUGACUUAGUGUGUUUGUACUUAUACAUUAGUUUGUGUGCAAGUGGGGAAUGUGUCCAUUCCUAUAAUUUGUUUUUGCAUGCAAUAUAACUGUUCUGAAUGUUGUGUUGGCCCUUCGACCAUGCUGUCCAGGAGAACAAAGGAUAGGACAGGAACAUGCAUGUUGGACAAGGAGAGCCCAUAGUCUCAGACCUACCCUGGGCACCAGGCCCCUCUGGAGAACAAAGGGGGGAGGUGGGAAAAUGGAGAGAGCUCUCACAGGACAGGCACUGCGUCACGUGACCAAGCCCCGAGUUUCAUUUCUGCAAACACACAAGAACAACUUCAUCUUUCACGCUGACUUUGGUAGCCAAUAGAUGGGGCUCUGCAACAUUGAUGCUUUCAGCAAAUUCCAAAUGUUUUGGUCCUGAAAAAAGAUUUUUUUUAAAUGUGUGUUUUGUUUCCUUUCAUUUUGUCAUGUUUUGAAUUCCAAAGGAGAUAACAGACCCAGCAGGUCCCUUUUUUGUCAACAAGAUGACAUGAGGACGACACAUCCCCCUUUGUACUCCGCUAAGGAACUCAGUUUUAAUCCUGCAAUUUAAAACAGCUGAUCGCCGAAUCUGUUUGAAAUAAUGACUGCACAAACCGAAAAGUAUGAGGCAGAUUAGAGUCAGUGUGUUUAUAUAAACUUUUAUGAUUUGUGCUCUACGCCGACAGUCACAUCUCAUUAGAGAGAGAGUGCGUGAGAGAGUGACAAUUCUCCUACAUUUUUUUUUUAUUUCCUAUUUUUGGCCAUAAUGUAUGUUAACCAACAACUCGUAACCACAUACAUAGUCAAACCAUACUGAUGCAUAUCAACUACAGGCGUCUAACACACCCCCUUUGAGGUCUCCCUCUGGUCAGCUGUUAUGUAAAAGAAGUCCCCCUCUCUUUUCCUCGUAGCUCGCAGACACUACUAGGAUCGCUUCUCUCUGCUAACAGUUGUUACUACCACGAUUGUUAAUGAAGUCUCUCUAUGUGUUUGAAUUAAUUGUUGCUACAACCGUCCUUCUUGCUACAGUCACCCAUCUUUACUGUUUGACAGUGGGAAGUACAACCAUUGUCAUUCGUGUCUCCCUCUGCUGGUAAUAGUCGUUACUACAGUUGUCCCUCUUUAUUAUUUUACCUGGCAGUUCUUGUCUCUUACCCCUUCCUCUUUCAAUUACAUGCACGCACCCACCCACACACACACAAACUUAGAUUGUUUUUUUAGAUUGUGGGUUUAUAAUCCUGCUGUUUAUAGAUAUAUUCAAUAUUUCUUUAAUUCUAUAAACUGUUAUACUUUAAAGAACAUUGUUUCCUUCUGCAUUUGUAUGGUGCUGAUAGCUGAAUGAGUGAAUAUCAAUUAUGACACUUGAUAUAUAGGUUUGUUAUUAGCGCCGUUAUUUUUAUUUUUUGUAAAUUAUCUUUGUGAUUAUUAAUAAUUCUAUUGAUGUCAAUAAUUUAGCUUCACACCAGCUAUUAACCAAAUAAGCCCCUUUCCGAGCCCAACAAGGGUGUGUGGGUGGGUGUUUUCACCUUGCCUUUUCUCUCCUUUCACACAACAAUGUCUAUGGAAUCUCAUUCAUGCCAAAAGAAACUACAGCAAAGGAAGUUUUCACAUUGUGCACAGUAAGAUUUCUCAGAACAAAUACAAAAAAUAUGAAAACUUGCAAUACAAGUUGCACUUAUUCUUCUGCUAUCGUAUCGCAGACACAGCUAUUUGUGCUGAAUAUCCAGAUCUGUCUAGGAGUCUGUCCAGGGGCCAAUGAAGUACCGAAACAUGUGUUAGGGCCGGUAUCCUGUCAAUAAUAUCAGCUUGUAAAUGCAGAGCUAUUAAGCAUUAAACGUCUCCUUGGAUGCACCAUGCAAGAGCGCAGCUCACCAUUGCAUUGAAUGGUACAGUGAAAAAGAGCUAAAGGAGUUACUGUGAUGGAUGACUUAGGAAGCAAGAGUGAAUCUCUUUAUACUAAAACCAUGUAGCCAAACUGCAGAUACACUCCUCACUCAGUGGAAUCUUUGGGGGCAAGAGAAUUCAUUCCUAUUUGUUAUUGUAACAAAUCCUUGACAAAAAUUGAAAUGAAAUUAUUAUUAAGAAAAUUGUUUCUUUAUUUUCUUUUUUGGGUCAAAAUACAUUCAUUAAACUUGUAAAACACCAUUAGAGCUUUUUGCCUCAUACGGGUCUAUUACACUGAACAUUAAACACUUUUUGAAAUGUGCAUCCAUCCGUAAUAAGAUGUGUAGCCAAACUGUCAAGCUCACACAUAAAACAAAACUGCAAUUCCUUUUACCUUUUCAAAAUAAAAGUCUUAUUCCCUGACUGAAAAGUAUAUGGGGUUAUUUACAGUUAUACUGUUAAAAAAUAAAAAAGUUUUAGUAAUAUAAACGGAAGUGAAGCAACUACAACAGAUGGAGGCUCAGGUGAAUAUUGUCAUACCAUUGCUCAUGGAGAGAAAUGUCAGAACAUCAUCAUGUUGUGUCUGCAGGUUACUUUGACCGUGCAUACUUAGACACUGGUGACAUACAAUAGUAAAGGGCUCCUAAAGUGAUUUAAAGAUAGACAGAUAGAUUGAAAGACAGAUAUUUCUGUAGCGUGUUCAACAAGCUUAUCAGUGUAUCUAUCAGAGUGUCUAUUCUAUCAAGUAUCUAUUUGCUAAAUAUAUUUUUGUUGUUAUAAUAAAACAGCAAUAAUUGGCAAGGACAGCAAAGAGUCGUGAUCUAGACGAGUGCUUUGCUCUCAGUGAGGGAGGGACAAGCAGUCUAGCAGAUGCAGAGCGGAGAGUGCGGGUUAGGAUGUAUGGUUUCACCAUGUCCUGGAUGUAAGCUGGACCCGAUCCAUUCACAGCAUGGUACGUGAGCACCAAUGUUUAGAACUGGAUGCGGCAGCCACUGGUAGCCAGUGAAGAGAGCGGAGGAGUGGAGUAGUGGGGGAGAAGUUCGGAAGGUUAAAGACCAGUCGAGCUGCUGCAUUCUGGAUGAGCUGCAGAGGUUGAAUGGCGGUAGCAGGGAGACCUGCCAGGGGGGAGUUGCAGUAGUCCAGGCGUGAGAUGACAAGAGCCUGAAUCAGUACCUGCGCUGCCUUCUGAGUGAGAAGGGGACGUAUUCUCCUCAUGUUGUAGAGCGUGUAUUGUAGGUUAUUAAAAACUCAAUCCUCCUCCUUUGGAUUAUGUAAUCAAUAAAGAAAUGAGAACGAUGUAAUGUCAAUGUAUAACUGUAAUUCUGAGACAAAUCAAUUGAGUCACUAAGCUAAAAUAUCAUUGUAUUAAAUGUAAUGUGCAUACAAGAAAAUGUAAUAAAACCAUUUACAUUGCCAGAGACACAAAAAAAAAAACAGGUUACACUGAACGCGACAUUCAGUGUAAUACCACAUUGCACCACUUCAAAUAACUAGUCAACAUUGAACGCAUCAUUACAUUACAUUACAUUUUAUCCAAAGCGACGUACAAUAAGUGCAUUCAACCAUAGGGUACAAACUCAGGAGAACAAGAAACAAGAAAAUGCAAUUUCCUCAAAGUGCUACAAUUUGUUAGUCUUUAGUCGAGGUAGAGUCUGAAGAGGUGUGUCUUUAGUUUGCGGCGGAAGAUGUGAAGGCUCUCUGCGGUCCUGGUGUCUUCAGAGAGCUCGUUCCACCAUUUCGGCGCAAGGACAGCAAAGAGUCGUGAUCUAGUCGAGUGUUUUGCUCUCGACUAGAUCUCGACUCUUUCGAUCUAACUUUUUCGAUCUGCGGUAUCCUUUGUUCGUCCGGAGUUUUCUUCAUUUUUGAACACAACAGUAUCUACAGGAUUGUGUUGUCGUGUUGUAUGGCACACAAAAAGAAACCUUUGAAUCUUGAAAAUUGCCUAGAAAAUAGCACUAACAGCAGAUAAACACAGAGAUACCAGGCUCAAUUCUCAUAGCUGUGUUGGACAGUAAACAUCAAAAGUUUUUCUUUGAUAGUAAAGCUGAACUACUAGAGAGGAAGAGGCUUUAGCACAGGCCUCACGGCAUGUGGUGAAAUCCUCUGCUUGACACUGAGAUCUGAUAUCUCAAGAUUCAGUAAAUCAACCCCUCUUUUAAUUUUCAGGGCCUAUUGGAUCGGACUAGCAUGACGUGGUUAAGAGCGCCAGCUCCCUCAGCCACUGAGAAUCCACGACGAGCAUUUACAGCGUAAAACAAGGCUCAACAGUGACGUUUGCUUUAAAAACAUCCCCCUUAUCCCUCUAAGAAGCUCUGUGAGUUUUGUCAAACGUUGUAAUUGUUGCCAGUCUCCAAUGUUCUGAACGUUGUGAAGCAUUAUCAUGUUUGUUCGUGAGUACAGAAUUGUUGUGUUGGAACUGUACCAACAUGGGAGAUGCUCGACUCAUGGCAUUCAUGGCAAAAAAUGGAAUAGAGGAAAAAAUGUAUUACUUUCUCUUUGGGGAUUAAGAGUCUCCAUGAAAAAAAAAAACAUUGUGCCAAAAAUCCAAACUUGGGCCCAAGUUGAAGUGAAGUAGAAUUCCUUAUUUGUUGUUGGAAAUAUCCCUAAUAGGCUUUGAGCUCACAAGAACGCCCCAAGAACUGGCAAAUGAGCUGGAAAGGUUUGAGCUUGUUGUUUGAUGGUAGACGUAUGUACUUUUCAAUAGUUUUGUUGGCAUAAUGUGAAAACGAUGUUACUUUAUGCCGUUACAGAGAUGUGAUCACACCAGACAAAGAAAGAAAAUAAGAAGAGGUAAACACAUACAUUUUGUAAUUGAGGAUUGAAAACAGCAAAUGCAGUGACAUGAAAGGAGGGAAGUAAAUCACAAAAAAAUGGCAAUAAAAAAAACAGAUGAUGAAAACCAUGUUUGACACAUCUCUCAGGCUCUAUCUUGCUCUUUCUACUCUUUCCCUCUGGUUGCUCCCUCUCUCGGUUCGGUUCCACCAUAAACAGCGCUAAUGCUACCAGAGUAGCCCCUAAGCUUGUCUGCAGGGUCUGUUCCCAUGACAACAGUACCAAACACAGCACUGACAAAACCGCUAAUACAUAGCAGAGGAGGCUUCUCGCCCGACAGCUGAGAAGAGAGAGAAAAGAGAAACGCUCUUGCUUGCUUUGUGCGAUUUUGUGUGUGAAGGAACACGUGCAUUUGACAUAGGCACAUGCACACGAGUUGUGUGUGUUCACAGAACGUUUUAAAACUUCUGUUGUAUACACUGUUUCCAUCUGUUUGUGUGUGUGUGUGUAUGUGUCCAUCCAUAUGGUUCCAUUUAACCCUUUUCUUUAAUGUGACACUGGUUAACCUGUGAGCCGCUGCAGUGAGACUCCAGUUCACACCGCGUUUCCUGUUCGCUCAGCUGCAUGUGGAUGUAAAUGGACUCUCUCACACACACACACACACACACACACACACACACACACACACACACACACACACACACACACACACACACACACACACACGCAGACAUUAAUCAGUGUUAUUACCCUUGACUUAACUGCAUCUGGAAAUUAAAAUCCAAACCCAUGUGUCCACACAUACAAAUCUAAGACAGCCAAGCCAAGUCAGCAACUCGUAUUAGUUGACCGCUAAAGAUAUAUUGUUACAUUGUGUUACAUUUUCAUAUCAGUCAUCAGACAUGGAUGAUAAAUAACUUUGAUUUGUGUUUUUUGUGGGGGGGUUUUGUAUUUUUGAAAAUUCAUUAAAAAAAAACACCUCAACCCUACCAGUUAUUGGUGAUUUGAAUUAUGUGCUAUAAGUCACCAUAGAAGCCUGCCGCCCCACCGAUACGAACAUACCGUACAGUAACAAGCAGAAGCACAUUUAAACUUAUUUUAGUAUUUUGUGUUAUUGCAUUUUCAAAAUACGAGUAAACACAACGCUACAGGAGCAGCACCUGAAAUCUCUCACAAAACAUGUGAAAAAGCCAUUCUCUGCUGCGUCUUGUUAUUCUGCUCUUCUGCAUUUCUUUUCUUCAUCACGUCACACCUCAGGCUGUUAGGAAGAGGCCUGGAGUCUGAGCUGUCAUCGAGGCAAACCGAGAGCACCUUUUUAAUUGAAGGCCUGUCAGGUUUUCACCCAAGCCCGUCGUCCCGCCAUCGCUCCUCCAGCCCCUCCUCCUCCUCCUCCUCCUCCUCCUCUGUCCACUGUAUCAAUCUUCUGGGCCUUUCUUGGAAGGGGCUGGCAGCAAAGUAUUUCCAUAGCUGGCUCUCUGGGGCAAUCUGUAACCAUAUCCGUUGUUGCAUCAUUGGACUGAUGUCAUGGUUGUUGUUGUUGUUGGUCCCCGAAGUCAAGUUCAAAUAGUCAGCCUCUGUUGGCAUUUAACCAAGAUUCAUGGGAGUUUUUAGUCAGAGAGGUUUUGAUCAACUUGUCGCUGACACUAUGAGGCAAAUAAAAAAUACAAUAAAAAAGUCAGUAGAUACAGUAGGUUGUGCUGCAGAAACUCCCAGUUAUGGAUGUCUAAAAUGAUAAGCCAUCUCUGUGUACAUGGAGGUUUUUCAUUUGUUCUUUCUUUGACUUAGAGUCACAGUUAAUUUAAAGAAAGAAGAAAAAGCCAGAUUCAGAUGUUCCUGGAGCCAGUUUGAUGAUUUAAACUUUACAAUCAAAUUUCUUUCCAGCCCGAUGGAAUCUCUUCAAAGAGCAGGCUAUAAUCAACUAAGUGAAAGUCCCCAGCGUUUCUGGCCGCCCCCCCGUCCAACAUAAAGAGUUUGUUUAGUGGCCGUUGCAGCAUCGCUUGCAUCACUUCUCAUUGAUCACAGUUUAAACAGACUUGGAGACGGAGACGGACAGGGUCACAGCUCGUAAAGACAAACUUUUUUGGUCUGUUUGGCUCGGCAGUUAUUUCCACUGAGAUGGCCCGAUGCUUUACUGGGGAUAUUAAUUGGCGCAAUUUAGAUGGAGAAACAAAGAGGGGAAAGGAGGCUGGAUAUAAGAGAGACAAGGGAGUUCACCAAGUGUACCAAAUCUAAAGGAAAUCCAUGUAAUUAUUGAGAUAUUUCAUCCAAAACCACAGAUGUCAACCACAUGGUCAUAAGAAAAGGGGAAGUAAGGAUUCAACUCUGGAGACCAUGAACCUGUACUACAUUUAAUCAAAAUGGUGGACGGAUGGACAUUGGCAUCCAUAGAAGCCCUCCUCUUGCAUAGAUGAAGACAGAAUUAAAAGAAUGAAUAGGUCGUAGAGAAAAAUCCAAAGACAGUGGAUGCACUUAUACACUUUCUCUAUGCGUGUUAUUGUCAGCAUCUGGUGUGUUUAUCACUCUGUAAUAUGAAGGGCAUUCCGAGGGCGAGCUGUAAUCCGCUGUAUUGUUCAGAGAAGCUCAAAGCGUGGGACCACACCAUUAUUUGAAAUGGAUGCAUACAAAGACACAGACACUGAUCUGCUUUAGGUCUGUCCAGACCAGAUAUGAAGACACAACAACACGACUUGAAAACUAAUGUAAUGGUUUGAAUCCCAGACCAAAUGGGUACUUUGGAGUGAGAUGACCCCAUGAUUUCUGCUUGUUUUUUUUUGUUUAUUCUUACUUGGUCAAUCCUUGUAAUGUUAACAUAACACUCAACUGUACCAGCAUCAAUGUUUCAUAAUUUCUCCCUUGGCCCGGUCAACUGGCCCCAAAGCAGUGAAGAUGUUCUGAGAUCACCUGGCAAGAUUAAUUGAAGUUAGUCUUACCAUUAAGUGAGACGUUGUGGCAGUAAAAGUCCAGCGGCUUAAAAAAAGAUAAUGGAUUUGGAAAUAACUGCCACCACCUCUGAAUUUCACAUUUUGAUUGAUUGGUCCUUCCUAAACGUCAAAUACGAAAAAAGAUCUCAAAACAGAAACUGCAUUUGAAGAAGCAAAUCUUUUGACACCCCAAAUAACUUACACCAGCUAUUAUUCAAGUGCAUUUCUUAUUGACGUCAGGCAUAAAUCUGUAUUAUCUGUAUUAAGUAUUUUGGCGGCUCGUCUUC